rnacentral:rRNA from 1 species
UAGCGUUGCUCGGAAUCACUGGGCGUAAAGCGCACGUAGGCGGAUUGCUAAGUCAGGGGUGAAAUCCUGGAGCUCAACUCCAGAACUGCCUUUGAUACUGGCGACCUUGAGUCCGGGAGAGGUGAGUGGAACUGCGAGUGUAGAGGUGAAAUUCGUAGAUAUUCGCAAGAACACCAGUGGCGAAGGCGGCUCACUGGCCCGGUACUGACGCUGAGGUGCGAAAGCGUGGGGAGCAAACAGG